rnacentral:rRNA from 1 species
AUUGAACGCUGGCGGCAUGCCUUACACAUGCAAGUCGAACGGUAACAGGUCUUCGGAUGCUGACGAGUGGCGAACGGGUGAGUAAUACAUCGGAACGUGCCCGAUCGUGGGGGAUAACGAGGCGAAAGCUUUGCUAAUACCGCAUACGAUCUACGGAUGAAAGCGGGGGAUCUUCGGACCUCGCGCGGACGGAGCGGCCGAUGGCAGAUGAGGUAGUUGGUGGGAUAAAAGCUUACCAAGCCGACGAUCUGUAGCUGGUCUGAGAGGAUGAUCAGCCACACUGGGACUGAGACACGGCCCAGACUCCUACGGGAGGCAGCAGUGGGGAAUUUUGGACAAUGGGCGAAAGCCUGAUCCAGCCAUGCCGCGUGCAGGAUGAAGGCCUUCGGGUUGUAAACUGCUUUUGUACGGAACGAAAAGCCUCUUUCUAAUAAAGAGGGGUCAUGACGGUACCGUAAGAAUAAGCACCGGCUAACUACGUG